UUUCUCUUCUUUCUGAUAAACUGUAACUUUCUAAAAAAAAAAAACCUUCCUCAUAUCUGUUUCCAGAUUCUACUCUUUUUUUUUCUCUGUUCUGUUUCCAGAGCAACACGAGAAAAACAAAAUUUGAUCUUUUGGUGGUUUGAUUUUUUUCAGAAGAAUCAGAACAAUGAUUUUGUUGUGAGCUAUCUCUAUAGGAUUGGAGGAGGCAAGGCGUACUUCCAUGGAGAUGGAAGAUAUAUGUAAUGCGGUUGUCGUGUGCAAGAGGAGAUGUCUCGAGCUCGCAUCCGUCUCGACCCGUCAUCACCGGUCUCGAGCUUGCCCCAGUCACCACCGGUCUCGAGCUUUGCCCCCGUCACCGUCGGUCUCAAGCUUGCCCCUGUCACCACCGGUCUCGAACUCGUCCGGUGCUGGGGAUGGAGACAGAACAGAGAAAGACAUCGAGAAGAGAGGCAAAGGAGGAAGGAGGAAGCGGCAGCAAAUAGAUUAGGUUUAGGGUUAAUUAGGUUUAGGUUAAUUAUGUUUUGGUUAAUUAGAUUUGGGUUUAAUGUUUUUAAUUAGGUUUCUUCGUUAUUUGAAGUACUCCAAAAUUACCGAGUUUGUUUACAGAUAUCCAACAUUUCUGAUCUCGCAUAACAAAAUGAUGUUCUUGGCUA